CAAUAGCGUAUAUUUAAGUUGUUGCAGUUAAAAAGCUCGUAGUUGGAUUUUGGGUCGGGGCGUCCGGUCCGCCGUUCUGGUGUGCACUGGGCGCCCCUUCCUUUCUGCCGGGGACCGCCUGGGGCUUUAAGUAGCUCGAGGCGGGAGUCGGCGUUGUUACUUUGAAAAAAUUAGAGUGUUCAAAGCAAGCCAUCGCUCUGAAUACAUUAGCAUGGAAUAACAUGAUAGGACUCCGCUCUUAUUUUGUUGGUUUCCGAGACUGGAGUAAUGAUUAAGAGGGACAGUCGGGGGCAUCCGUAUUUCAUUGUCAGAGGUGAAAUUCUUGGAUUUAUGAAAGACGAACUUCUGCGAAAGCAUUUGCCAAGGAUGUUUUCAUUAA
rnacentral:rRNA from 1 species